rnacentral:lncRNA from 10 species
UUUAAAAACAAAAUCACUUGUUUUUGUAUUUCAUAGGUGUUCAGAACAAGAAGAGUUUUAUCUGGUCCUGAUAUCAACAUUUUCCCCAUUACCUCUUGAUGCGUUGACUACAAGUUCACCCAAAGAUCCUAGACCUUGACUUGAUGCUUUGACUUGAUGGAACUUGGGGUAGCCUUCCCUGAAAAAGUGCCUCUGCCUGGAAGAAUGAGUGCAGAGGAAAGAGGAAGCUGGACAAGGGAAGAAAGCAUUGGAGCCUGGGCCCUUCCAGAGGAAACAGAGUCAUCCUAGUAGGAGAUUGUAAUGGAAUGCUUCAGCUUGUCAGAGGUUUCCAGGAAUCUUCUGCACAAGGAACAGGAGAACCAGUGGAUAGUAUAGACCCUCAGUGAGUAAUGAGAGAAGGUUAUGUUUUACUUUGCAAUUUUUUCCAGAGCCUUUAUCUUGAGUAGCUUCCAUGUGAUUAGCAGUGUAGCAAGUGG